UCGGCGCCUGGGUGGUGGGCGCGGCACCCGGCGCCGUCGUCGGCGGGUUGGCCGGCGGGUUCGUCGUCGGGUUCGGGCCCGGGUCGCCGGG
rnacentral:tRNA from 1 species